rnacentral:misc_RNA from 1 species
GGAAGGAUCAUUAACAAAUCAGCCCCUUACGGGGACAUUUGCGCUCGUGAGCAAUCAUGGGAUGCACAUUAACACAUUACUGUCAAGUUUACGUGAGAUUAUAAAUUAGAAACAACUUUUAACAAUGGAUCUCUUGGCUCUUGCAACGAUGAAGAACGCAGUAAUGUGCGAAAAGUAAUGCGAUCUGCAUUAUCUGUGAAUCAUCAAAUCUUUGAACGCAAAUGGCACUGCCACGACAAGUGGCGGUAUGCCUGUUUGAGAACCGAAUAAAACAUCACCUCUAGUUAGAGGCGGACGUGCUUGUGACUGCGGUCUUGAGCUGAAAGUAUUGUUGCGGGCACUGUGUCCGGUGUAUGAUAGUCUUUACACCCAUGGCCGGUGCUAGUAAAUGCAGCACGGACAGUAUAUUUCAAAAACCGGUCUCAAAUCAGGCAAGGCUACCCGCUGAACUUAAGCAUAUCAGUAAGCGGAGGAAAAGAAACUAACAAGGAUUCCCUCAGUAACGGCGAGUGAAGUGGGAUCAGCUCAAAUUUAAAAUCUGGCCGCAAGGCCCGAAUUGUAGUCUAAAGAGGUGCAAUCUGGUGGAAGGGCGUGUUCAAGUUGCCUGGAAUGGCACAUCACAGAGGGUGAGAAUCCCGUCUAGACGCGCCCGGAAGCCUGUACGAUGCACUCUCGAAGAGUCGAGUUGUUUGGGAAUGCAGCUCAAAAUGGGUGGUAAAUUUCAUCCAAGGCUAAAUACCGGCAAGAGACCGAUAGCGAACAAGUACCGUGAGGGAAAGAUGAAAAGCACCUUGAAAAGGGAGUUAAACAGCGCGUGAAAUUGUUAAAAGGGAAACGAUUGAAGCCAGCAUUGUGCUGGAGGCCUGUGGUUGUGACCGGUGUAGUUGAGCGCAAGCCGACAAAGCUGUUAGCAGCUGCACGUUCCAGUGCGAGUCAGGGCCGCUUUGGUGUGCCUGAGAAGAGGUUGGGAAGGUAGUCAUCUCUGGAUGAUCUUAUAGCCCGACUGGAUCUGGUGUGCUAGAGCUGGGAUGUGCAUGACAUGUGCCUGAUCAUGCUUGGAGUGGUGUGUUUUCUGCUUGCAGAUACGCGUUCACGUUCGAGUAGGUGAGGGUAACGUUAGUGCCGUACCUGACGCAAUGGUUUUAAACGACCCGUCUUGAAACACGGACCAAGGAGUCUAACAUGUAUGCGAGUGUUUGAGUGGCAAACUCGAGCGCGCAAUGAAAGUGUAAUGUGGGAACACAACAGUGGGCACCAUGGACCGACCUUGAUAUCUCUUGAGAGUGUCGAGUCAGAGCAUAAAUGUUGGGACCCGAAAGAUGGUGAACUAUGCCUGGAUAGGAUGAAGCCAGAGGAAACUCUGGUGGAGGUCCGCAGCCGUUCUGACGUGCAAAUCGAUGGUCAAAUCUGGGCAUAGGGGCGAAAGACUAAUCGAACCAUCUAGUAGCUGGUUCCCUC